rnacentral:rRNA from 1 species
GUCGAACGGGAUGCUUAGGCAUCUAGUGGCGGACGGGUGAGUAACGCGUGAGAAUCUGGCUCCAGGUCGGGGAUAACAGUUGGAAACGACUGCUAAUACCGGAUGUGCCGAGAGGUGAAAGAUUUAUUGCCUGGAGAUGAGCUCGCGUCUGAUUAGCUAGUUGGUGGUGUAAGGGACCACCAAGGCGUCGAUCAGUAGCUGGUCUGAGAGGAUGAUCAGCCACACUGGGACUGAGACACGGCCCAGACUCCUACGGGAGGCAGCAGUGGGGAAUUUUCCGCAAUGGGCGAAAGCCUGACGGAGCAAUACCGCGUGAGGGAGGAAGGCUCUUGGGUCGUAAACCUCUUUUCUCAAGGAAGAAGAAAGUGACGGUACUUGAGGAAUAAGCAUCGGCUAACUCCGUGCCAGCAGCCGCGGUAAUACGGAGGAUGCAAGCGUUAUCCGGAAUGAUUGGGCGUAAAGGGUCUGCAGGUGGAACUGAAAGUCUGCUGUUAAAGAGUUUGGCUUAACCAAAUAAAAGCGGUGGAAACUACAGAACUAGAGUGCGGUAGGGGCAAAAGGAAUUCCUGGUGUAGCGGUGAAAUGCGUAGAUAUCAGGAAGAACACCGGUGGCGAAAGCGUUUUGCUAGACCGUAACUGACACUGAGGGACGAAAGCUAGGGGAGCGAAUGGGAUUAGAUACCCCAGUAGUCCUAGCCGUAAACGAUGGAUACUAGGCGUGGCUUGUAUCGACCCGAGCCGUGCCGGAGCUAACGCGUUAAGUAUCCCGCCUGGGGAGUACGCACGCAAGUGUGAAACUCAAAGGAAUUGACGGGGGCCCGCACAAGCGGUGGAGUAUGUGGUUUAAUUCGAUGCAACGCGAAGAACCUUACCAAGACUUGACAUCCUGCGAAUCCUGGUGAAAGCUGGGAGUGCCUUAGGGAGCGCAGAGACAGGUGGUGCAUGGCUGUCGUCAGCUCGUGUCGUGAGAUGUUGGGUUAAGUCCCGCAACGAGCGCAACCCUCGUUUUUAGUUGCCAGCAUUAAGUUGGGCACUCUAGAGAGACUGCCGGUGACAAACCGGAGGAAGGUGAGGAUGACGUCAAGUCAGCAUGCCCCUUACGUCUUGGGCUACACACGUACUACAAUGCUACGGACAGAGGGCAGCGAGCCAGGGAUGGCAAGCGAAUCCAGAAACCGUAGCUCAGUUCAGAUCGAAGGCUGCAACUCGCCUUCGUGAAGGAGGAAUCGCUAGUAAUUGCAGGUCAGCAUACUGCAGUGAAUUCGUUCCCGGGCCUUGUACACACCGCCCGUCACACCAUGGAAGUUGGUCACGCCCGAAGUCAUUACCCCAACCGAAAGGAGGGGGAUGCCUAA